rnacentral:rRNA from 1 species
CAGCCGCCACGGUAAUACGUAGGUGGCAAGCGUUGUCCGGAAUUAUUGGGCGUAAAGGGCUCGCAGGCGGUUUCUUAAGUCUGAUGUGAAAGUCCCCGGCUCAACCGGGGAGGGUCAUUGGAAACUGGGAAACUUGAGUGCAGAAGAGGAGAGUGGAAUUCCACGUGUAGCGGUGAAAUGCGUAAAGAUGUGGAGGAACACCAGUGGCGAAGGCGACUCUCUGGUCUGUAACUGACGCUGAGGAGCGAAAGCGUGGGGAGCGAACAGGAUUAGAUACCCGUGUAGUCCCUGUCUCUUAUAC